UUAUCAACAUGGAAGAUUUUACAUUUUAAAACUCCAUUGGAUCAGUAUAAUCAAUUACAAUCUAAUGUUCAGUCACAUGAAUAUGCUACUAGACGAGCAACAGAGGGUAGAUUUCUACUCCCUAAUGCUAAAACUAAUUUUCUUAAACAAACAAAUGGAACAU